GGGAUAAGAGCCACUUAGAUUAGCCAAGGAGACUGCCUGUAAAACCACACAAAGACCUCCGUCAUGGUUGCUCAGAGUCGCAUGCAAACCAUCGAGAAGCUCUUCGAGAGGCCGUAGGCAAGUCAUCCUUGGCUAACGAAGCACGAUCUUAUCC
rfam:Musa acuminata subsp. malaccensis Doubled-haploid Pahang (DH-Pahang) genomic chromosome, chr9